rnacentral:lncRNA from 15 species
GAAAACCAUGAAAAGUGAUGAGGAGCCUCCAACACAUUUUCCUCAGUGCCCAGCUGGAUUAGUAAAGGGCAGGAGAAAUGUGGAGGUGAAGAGUGAGGAGUCCAGCAAUGAGAGGGUUGAGCUGACGGUGGGGGUGAAAACAUCCAAACCCAAAAUGUCAAUUGAGCUUUCUUCGUGUUUCUGUGAGGACAGUGAAGCCUGCGUGUGCAAAAAUGGCCUUUUUGACUCACCAUCAUCACUCUGUCUUUCACCGGGGACUGCUGCAGCGCAAACACAGAUGCAAAGCACAAAGCCCAAGGCCAGGACGCUGGUAGCAUGCAGGCAGCUGAUUGAUGGGAAGGAGGCGGUGGCCUCACUCAGGGACCAAUCUCCUCUUUCAUUGGUAACAUUCAAAGGGACUGUAAGUUCUGCAAGCACCGACCCCAACAGGAACUCUUCAGUUCAUGGAUCCAUCACAGGACAAUCUUCAGUAUCAGCUGUUCAACAGGAUGAAGACCUAAGAUCGAACAGGAACGUCACCAGAGAGGAAAACAGAAGUCAGUAUUACAGCGAGCUUUGCCUGCAGAUAGAGCAGAGGAAACAACAGACAGAAAGGGAGAGAAGAAGAAAUACUGUUGACGAACUAAAGCACCAUGAGACCAUGCAGCACUCCAUCUGGGGGAUGCCAGGAAGUGGUGCCCCAAACCACCACCUGGGCACAACCAAAAGGACCAAAAGCCUCCUCAGCGCGGGGAUUUUACCCCAGGAGCAGAUCCGUGAUAAAGGCUUCAGCGGGACCCCCUUCCACCGCCUGUGAAAUGAAGACCAUAACAUCCCUGAGCUGAGACAGCUGAGAGCUACAGAGCAAUGGCGCAAAUAGUACUCUCUUUCUCGUUUACCUUCAAGUAAUGUUGUCGCCAUCAAGACAUUUGGGCUAUUUCAGCAGCAAAUUCUGAUGGUGGAAUGCAAAUAAACUGAGACAGAGAGAACAAACACAUGAAAAGUUUUGAGAAGAGAGACCAAGUGAGCCUUCUACUUACAGCUACAUGUGUUGCUGCAUGAACAGGUGCCUGCAACAGCAACAUUCUUCACUCCCUACCAAGAAUGGUAGUCGUUCCUGAUUUUUCCCAGAAUAGGAGAAGCAUCUGAGAACUUAAAGAGGUGCUGAACGGACUGCAUUUGAUACAGAAGUACAUUUCUUAACUGUUAUAUGAAAUAGAAUCACAUUUGCUCUUACACUGAUGGUGGGGAUGGUGCUUCACGUUUUCAUAAAGUGGUACUAGAGCUGGGAUUUAAUAUUGCUUUCAUAAAGUUGGGGGACUCAGAAGAGAUGGAUUUUAAAAAAUUGAAGCCUGACUAGUAUGGACCAAGCUCCACACUAUACUAUGGUCCUACAAUUCCCAUAAUGCAACUCAACUGUGUCUUUCAUGAGACCCUCCCUAAAUGUAUUUCAAACUCUACAUCUCCAGUUUCUAAAGCAGACUUUAAAAAGCUUAAACCAAGUCAGGGAACAAGUCUUUUUAAGUUGAAAUCAUCAACAUCUAAAUUAUUGUUUGACAAUUUCCUUUCAAGUGUAUAUCAAUCAAUCAAUCAAACUUUAUUUAUAUAGCACAUUUCAUACAGUUUAGUGCAGUUCACAGAUGACUGACAAGACCAUAAUAUGACACAAUGGAGUAAAAAUGAAAUAAGGUAAAUUAAUAUUACAAUAAAAUACUGGUAUAACGAUAGUAUUUAAUAAAAGUUAUACUACAAACAAAUCAAUGAAGAAAGCAGGCAGAAAUAACAAACCGUAGUAAAAGUAUACUUAAAAUAAAUUAAUGACAUUUACAAAAGAAAAUAUAAUGAGGAAAAUUAGAAAUAAAUGGUAAAUAAUGUCUAAAAACCAUUCCUUAGUUAAAAGUCAGGCUGAUAGUAUAGCCCUAAUUAAUAAAUGCAUGAUGUCAAGUCCUUAAAUAAUCACUAAGACUAGAAGAUAUGAAUCUCACAUCUGUCUCCUCCACAGACUGUUGAACCGCCAUGUUUACAGCAGAAACUUGUGGAAAAAUGCCAAAGGCUAUCUAGCCACUGUUUGGUGUGUCCAUUCUGUGCUACUGUAGAAACAUGGUGGUUCAACAUGAUGAACUCCCCGGAAGGCGACCUUUAAGUCUUGACUGAAGUAUGAACUCUACAGCUGAGAUGUUGGGAGGAGCUGAGAAUCAAACCAGAAACCGUAUGAUUAUAAGACAGUUUGUUCAACAACUGAGCUGCCUGAGGACUGAAGCUGAAUUAAAAGUUUCAGCAACUUGAACGAUGAACUGAACAUGUUGUCACUGUAAACGACUCACAUCUUACACCGAAUAUGUUGCUAAUUUGCUCAUUAUAGUGUUGGACAUUAGCCACAUUGUGUGAAAAACUAACUUCCAUACUUUGGAUUGUUUGUCCAGAAGGUUCCCUAAUUGAUCUUCAAGGUAAUUUCCAGAUAAUUAUACAGUGAAGAGAGAUGACUCAUCCCUGUAUAAUUGCAUGGCUUUGUUAAUGUGACGUUAGCAAGCUCCUAAUUGGAACAGUUUACACAGACUUUGUGUGUGAGUGUAUUCAGUUUUCAUAGGUUAAGGGCCUUACUGUGCGGGGCAGCAGCAGCUUUCUUCUUCAGUGGGUGAGUAAUUAUGAUGUAGGGACAGUUGUAAGGGACAGUGAACGGUUAGAGCGUAGGCUGGCAAGGUUGGUAAUUAUACCGAGGAGUUCUGCAGACGACGUACUUUUUGGUUCAUAGUUGAUUCAUGCAAACAUUGUACGCUAAAUGCAGAGAAACUAUUGAAUAAGUCAGAACUUGUGCUAGUUUUUUUUUAAUUUAUCUCAGCUUGUACCAAUUUGUGAAUUACGUUUGGUCUAUUUGAUGAACGAGUAGAAGGCUAUAAUGUUUAAAGCUCCCUCCGACUGGAAUAAUCUACCUGUAAAUAUUUGGUCUGUAUCAUCUAAUCACCUGUCUUCUUAUUUUAGGAUCAACUGUACAUGUUCCUAAUGACAGUUGUACAUGUCCAAAAUAACACCUUUUAUAAUUUUAUAAUCAUGUUUUGUAACUCUUUUACCUAAUGCUUUCACUGACAUCAGUACUACCACUCUAAACUAUGAAUGAAAGAUCAAUUUGCUCUGUUUGGAGUAUUAUCUGUUCUUGUCUUGUUAUUUAUUGUUUCUUUUCCCUUUAAUUUUUAUUUUAUUUUUAUUUUUUUGUUGUUUUUGUUUUGUCUCCAUAGGUUCUUGUUUGUUUGCGUCAAAUCUGGUUUAAUUGUGUACUGUUAUCUUUCUCAGAUUUUGUGUGCAGUUGUGUAUAUGGUACUUCUUGUCGUUGAGGAAAAUGAGAUGGUACCGCUCAAGGGUUUAUUCCUAAUAAAGAAUUUCCAACUUAUAACAACUGUCCAAUCAGUUUAAAAAACAUAUAAUUAAUUGUCUCUUUUUCAGCUUUUUCUGAAGGACUCUAAAAAGGUAAAUAAAUAGCCUAAUAAAUGAAGUAGAUUCCCAUAGUACAUGAUUAGUAUAAUGACACCAUAAUAAAUUAACAAAUACAUUCCCAUAUUUUAGGAUUAUAACACCAUAACAACUAAACUACAUUCCCAUAUUAUCUGAUUAUUGUAAUAAAAACCAUAAUACAGUAAAACAUAACAACAUAAUAACAGUGUAAACUCAACAUCAGGAACCACAGAGAUGUUGUGAGUCUCAACAAGUGCACCAUGGGAUAC